UACGGAGGGUGCAAGCGUUGCUCGGAAUUAUUGGGCGUAAAGGGCAGGUAGGUGGUCUCAUUUGUCAGGGGUGAAAGCCUUGGGCUUAACUCAAGAAGUGCCCCUGAAACGGUGAGACUAGAGUGCUCGAGAGGGUCGUGGAAGUUCCCGGUGUAGCGGUGAAAUGCGUAGAGAUCGGGAGGAACACCAGAGGCGAAGGCGGCGACCUGGAGAGUGACUGACACUCAACUGCGAAAGCGUGGGGAGCAAACAGGA
rnacentral:rRNA from 1 species